UUUAGCGUCCGUACCACGUUGAAUCCACCGGUUCUCGUCCGAUCACCGAAGUUAAGCAACGUCGGGCGCGGUCAGUACUCGGAUGGGUCCGCCUGGGAACACCGCGAGUUUCUAUUU
rnacentral:rRNA from 1 species